GACGUAGGAGGCGAGCGUUGUCCGGAAUCAUUGGGCGUAAAGCGCGCGUAGGCGGCCUCAUAAGUCCGUUGUGAAAGUCAAAGGCUCAACCUUUGAAAGCCGAUGGAUACUGUGAGGCUAGAGUCCGGAAGAGGCGAGUGGAAUUCCUGGUGUAGCGGUGGAAUGCGCAGAUAUCAGGAGGAACACCAAUAGCGAAGGCAGCUCGCUGGGACGGUACUGACGCUAAGGCGCGAAAGCGUGGGGAGCGAACAGG
rnacentral:rRNA from 1 species